AACGAACGCUGGCGGCAGGCUUAACACAUGCAAGUCGAACGCGUGCAGCAAUGCACGAGUGGCGCACGGGUGAGUAACGAGUGGAUAUCUGCCUUUUGGUUCGGAAUAACCCCGGGAAACUGGGGCUAAUACCGGAUGGUUCCUACGGGAUAAAGAUUUAUCGCCAAAAGAUGAGUCCGCGUCCGAUUAGCUAGUUGGUGAGGUAAUGGCUCACCAAGGCGACGAUCGGUAGCUGGUCUGAGAGGACGAUCAGCCACACUGGGACUGAGACACGGCCCAGACUCCUACGGGAGGCAGCAGUGGGGAAUAUUGGACAAUGGGGGCAACCCUGAUCCAGCCAUGCCGCGUGAAUGAUGAAGGCCUUCGGGUUGUAAAGCUCUUUUGGCGGGGACGAUGAUGACGGUACCCGAAGAAUAAGCCCCGGCUAACUUCGUG
rnacentral:rRNA from 1 species